rnacentral:rRNA from 1 species
CGGAGGAUCCAAGCGUUAUCCGGAAUCAUUGGGUUUAAAGGGUCCGUAGGCGGUCUUAUAAGUCAGUGGUGAAAUCUCCCCGCUCAACGGGGAAACGGCCAUUGAUACUGUAGGACUUGAAUUAUUAGGAAGUAACUAGAAUAUGUAGUGUAGCGGUGAAAUGCUUAGAGAUUACAUGGAAUACCAAUUGCGAAGGCAGGUUACUACUAAUGGAUUGACGCUGAUGGACGAAAGCGUGGGUAGCGAACAGGAUUAGAUACCCUGGUAGUCCACGCCGUAAACGAUGGAUACUAGCUGUUGGAAGCAAUUUCAGUGGCUAAGCGAAAGUGAUAAGUAUCCCACCUGGGGAGUACGUUCGCAAGAAUG